GAUGAACGCUGGCGGCGUGCCUAACACAUGCAAGUCGAGCGGCAGCGCGGGGUGCUUGCACCCUGUCGGCGAGCGGCGGACGGCUGAGUAACGCGUGUGAACGGCCCCCAAAGUGAGGAAUAACUGCCCGAAAGGGUAGCUAAUACCGCAAAGUAUCUUCGGAGCAAAGGAUUGAUUGGCUUUGGGAGCGGCUCGCGUCGGGUUAGGUGGUUGGUGAGGUAAUGGCUGAGCAAGCCGACGAUCCGUGGCUGGGCGGGUAGGAUGACCAGUCAGACUGGAAAUGCGACACGGUCCAGACUCCUACGGGAGGCAGCAGUGAGGAAUAUUACAGAAUGGGGGCAAGCCUGAUGGAGCCACGCCGCGUGUAGGACGCAGGCCUUCGGGUUGUAAACUGGUUUUAUACGUGAGGAAUAUGACGGUAACUUAUGAAUAAGGACCGGCUAACUACGUG
rnacentral:rRNA from 1 species